GAAUGAACGCUGGCGGCGUGCUUAACACAUGCAAGUCGAACGAGAAAGUCUUUCGAGAUGAGUAAAGUGGCAGACUGGUGAGUAACGCGUGGGUAUCUAUACUUUAGUAAAGAAUAUGUUUGGGAAACUAAACUUAAUACUGUAUAUCUUUCGCUAAGAAAAAAAGGGGGCCUCUUGCUCUCGCUGAAGAAUGAGCCUGCGUACUAUUAGUUAGUUGGUAUGGUAAAUGCUUACCAAGACGAUAAUGGUUAUCCGACCUUAGAGGGUGAUCGGACACAUUGGGACUGAGAUAUGGCCCUAACUCCUACGGGAGGCAGCAGUGGGGAAUUUUGCGCAAUGGACGAAAGUCUGACGCAGCAACGCCGCGUGGAGGAUGAAUCUCUUCGGAGUGUAAACUUCUGUUUAUUAGGAAGAAAAGGUAGUAUAUAAUACAUACUAUUUAUGACGUUACUAAUAUAGAAAGCACCGGCUAAUCUCGUGCCAGCAGCCGCGGUAAUACGAGAGGUGCAAGCGUUAUUCGGAAUUAUUGGGCGUAAAGGGCGCGUAGGCGGCUUUGUAAGUUUCUUGUUUAAGGCCCCGGCCUAACUGGAGAAAAGCAAGAAAUACUGUAUAGCUAGAGUAUAAUAGAGAGAAGUGGAAUUUUCGGAGUAGCGGUUAAAUGCGUAGAUCUCGGGGGGAACGCCAAUGGCGAAGGCAGCUUCUUAUGUUAUUACUGACGCUGAGGCGCGAAGGCGUGGGGAGCAAACAGGAUUAGAUACCCUGGUAGUCCAUGCAGUAAACGAUGAUCACUAGGCGUAUACAUUUAUGUGUGUGCCGUAGCUAACGCGAUAAGUGGUCCGCCUGGGGAGUACGAUCGCAAGAUUAAAACUUAAAGAAAUUGACGGGGAUCCGCACAAGCGGUGGAACAUGUGGUUUAAUUCGAUACUACGCGAAGAACCUUACCUGGGUUUGACAUAUUUAAGAUUCAUAUAGAAAUAUAUGUUCUGUAAGGUAACUUACAGCUUUUAUACAGGUGUUGCAUGGCUGUCGUCAGCUCGUGUCGUGAGAUGUUAGGUUAAGUCCUUUAACGAGCGCAACUCUUAUUAUUAAUUGCUAACUUAUUUAUUUAAGAGCACUUUAAUGAGACUGCUUAGGAAACUAAGAGGAAGGAGAGAAUGAUGUCAAGUCCGCAUGACCCUUAUAUCCAGGGCUACACACGUGUUACAAUGGGUACUACAAAGAGCUGCUAACCUGAGAGGGGGAGCUAAUCUCAUAAAAGUAUUCUCAGUUCGGAUUAGAGUCUGCAAUUCGACUCUAUGAAGUUGAAAUCGCUAGUAAUCGCAUAUCAGAAUGAUGCGGUGAAUACGUUCUCGGAUCUUGUACACACCGCCCGUCAAGCCAUGAAAAUUGUCUGCACCAGAAAACAUAUGAACUGACCGUAAGGAGGUAUAUGGUUAAGGUGUGGGGGGUAAUUGGGGC
rnacentral:rRNA from 1 species